rnacentral:lncRNA from 1 species
CUCAGCCAACGCCAAGGAACGGCUAUGUUGUCAGAGGUGAAAUGUGUUUAUGUGUGUGACAAUAAACAGCCUUGGCGGUCUCGGUAAGAUGCCUCCGCGGGGUAUCCCCGAGAAUGAAUUUUUGGCAAGGGUCAAGUUUUGAAAAGUGCAUAAGCCAUUUUGAGUAAUUGAAUGAAAUCCAAUUAUUUAUAUGGGUUGAGAUGAAUUAUUUUAAUUGUCUCCUAUUACUCGGCUUUAGAUUAUUUUGAUGAUGUCUGUCGACUCACUGGGAUUAUGUAAUCAUAAUCUCACCCCUCUUCCUAUCCAUUUUUCAGGCUCAGGACAAUUUGUUGAUAGUUGAUUAAGACGAGAAUUAAUCUCGGAGUUGCAUCCUAAAAAGUAAGGGUUCAUAGCCCUACAUCUUCUUAGUUAGUUGGGGGCCCACGUGUCACUGUAAAAGUAAUUUUAUUCUUCAGUUAUUUGAUUUAAAGUAUGUAUGAAUAUAUUUAGCUUUUACACCAUGUUUUUGGCGAGUUUCGGUAUUUUCAAAGAAAAAUGACGAAAAUGCCCC